UACAAGUCCAAGUAGUUUCACAUUGCAAAGCGUUUCGUCUUUCGAGUUGUUCAUAGUAUACUGAAAAUGUGGCCCCGUCAAGGCAACGGACGACCUUUUGUUAAGAAUUGCCCCUAAGUUUGAACCUUUUGCUUCCCGAACCAUCGGAUGUGUAAAACUUCCACAACUGGAACAGCAAACUAAUCGCAUUCGAUUGAUCAACAAGCAUUCAGGCGAGAAAAAACAACAACUAAUUUCAAAUUAGGAAAGUAAUGAAUACCGUACGGGAUUUUGACCCAAAAUGAAUUCAUUUUUCUUGUUUUCCCCUGUCCGAUCGACCGGCACAGCCUACUGCGGUGCGGUUGAGGGAUUUUCUUUCUUACUCCCUUGCGGUUUCCGCCGCCGGCUCACCAGUUGUUGGUUGGUUGGUUGCAAAGUCCAUCGAUCUUUUCACUUUCAUUUCCCUAUAGUCCCCUCAGCAUCUCACGGAUGGUAGUGAGUAGACCGGGACCGGGAAAGUAUUCCUCGCAACGUUCGGUGCAGACCGCUCGGUAGUAGGCCACAACCACAACAACAGGCCCCAAAGGAACAUGCGUGUUACAUUAACUCACCACUGACAGAACUUCCAGCUGAACGUUCGAUGAUAGCUGCUUGCUUGCAGUACUAA